UGAAGCUGGAUUCGCUAGUAAUCGCGCAUCAGCCAUGGCGCGGUGAAUACGUUCCCGGGCCUUGUACACACCGCCCGUCAAGCCAUGGGAGCCGGGGGUGCUUGAAGUGCGUGACCGCAAGGAGCGUCCUAAGGCAAUACCGGUGACUGGGGCUAAGUCGUAACAAGGUACC
rnacentral:rRNA from 1 species